GACGAACGCUGGCGGCGUGCUUAACACAUGCCAGUCGAACGGAAAGGCCCUGCUUUUGUGGGGUGCUCGAGUGGCGAACGGGUGAGUAACACGUGAGUAACCUGCCCUUGACUUUGGGAUAACUUCAGGAAACUGGGGCUAAUACCGGAUAGGAGCUCCUGCUGCAUGGUGGGGGUUGGAAAGUUUCGGCGGUUGGGGAUGGACUCGCGGCUUAUCAGCAUGUUGGUGGGGUAGUGGCUUACCAAGGCUUUGACGGGUAGCCGGCCUGAGAGGGUGACCGGCCACAUUGGGACUGAGAUACGGCCCAGACUCCUACGGGAGGCAGCAGUGGGGAAUAUUGCACAAUGGGCGGAAGCCUGAUGCAGCAACGCCGCGUGCGGGAUGACGGCCUUCGGGUUGUAAACCGCUUUCGCCUGUGACGAAGCGUGAGUGACGGUAAUGGGUAAAGAAGCACCGGCUAACUACGUG
rnacentral:rRNA from 1 species